rnacentral:rRNA from 1 species
AUUGAACGCUGGCGGCAGGCCUAACACAUGCAAGUCGAGCGGAGCGGCGGAAGGGUGAGUAAUGCAUAGGAAUCUGCCUGGUAGUGGGGGAUAACGUCCGGAAACGGGCGCUAAUACCGCAUACUAUCAGAUGAGGCUAGGUCGGAUUAGCGAGUUGGUGGGGUAAAGGCCUACCAAGGCGACGAUCCGGAACUGGUCUGGGGGGAUGAUCAGUGAAAUUGGAAAUGUGACACGGUCCAGAUUCCUACGGGAGGCAGCAGUGGGGAAUAUUGAACAAUGGGCGAAAGCCUGAUCCAGCGAUGCCGCGGGGGUGAAGAAGGUCUUCGGAUUGUAAAGCACUGGAAGUCGGGAGGCGUUACCAACAGAAUAAGCACCGGCUAACUUCGUGCCAGCAGCCGCGGUAAUAC